rnacentral:misc_RNA from 1 species
UACCGAUAUGGUCACUUGACUCACUUCGAUUCACGCCUGUGUCCACAACGAUGACGAUGAAACGGAAAAGAGAAGUGACAAAACAAGUGAACAGCAUGCCAAAUCAUGGUGGAGAAAACAAACACCCACCUUUCAUUGAGAUAACAGACUGGGCAUAAUUUAAUCUUAGUCAAAACGUGCUUACAUUUUUCGACAAGUUACAAAUAUUCACAAGUAUUGCUGCGGUGUAUAAUUGUUUAGUUCUACAACAGUUUGAAAAGCUCGGCAUACUGUUGUCUGACAUCUAACAACAUGUCUCAUGACUAUGGGAGUGCUUUCUCCACCUACCACAGUGAGGCGCCACGCGACACGUCUACAGAGUUCACACGUCUUUCACAAGUGGUUAGCAGUAAUAUCCAAAAGACACAACAGAAUGUUGCUCAAAUCCAAAGAAUGGUCAACCAACUUGGGACCCCGCAGGAGACAGACCAGCUGUGGAGUAAACUCGGACAGAUUCAGCAUUAUACUAAUCAGUUAGCGAAAGACACAAGCAAAUAUCUAAAGGAUAUAUCACGCAUUCCUGUAGCUCCCUCCUCGGCGGACCAGAAAUUACGGAAGAUGCAAGUUGAAAGACUGACUAAGGACUUCUCCGAUGCACUUAGUAACUUCCAGGUCGCACAGCAACGCGUGGCAGAGAAGGAAAGGGCAAGCAUUGCUAAGGCACGCAGCCAGGCAGGAGGGAAAUCUAUACCGUACUUUGAUGAGCGUGCAAGCACACAGAGUGAUGACCAGCUCAUUAGUCUCAGUACAGGGGGCUUCCAGUCGCAGGCUCAAGCACAGCUAGAAGACGUUGAUCUUGACCUACUGCAGGAGAGGGAAACAGCUGUCAGGCGAUUAGAGGAGGAUAUACAAGAUGUAAACCAGAUUUUUAAAGAUCUUGGCAUGAUGGUUCACGAGCAAGGUGAAGUGAUUGAUUCCAUAGAAGCCAAUGUAGAGACUGCUACUAUACAUGUUGAGGAAGGUACCAGCUCACUGAGGAAGGCUGCGGAACAUCAGCUAGGUUAGUUUCGUACUACAACCACGUUGAUUUGGUAUGUUGGUGAGAAAUCAUGGUUUACGAUUCAUGGAACGUACAACCUGACAUUGAGCAAAAAUCCAUGCCUUGCUGUCAAAGCCUGAGAGGAAUGCAGCAAUUUACUUGCUUCCUUUCAAAGUCGAGGAAAAAGGCCCUGGCUAUCCUCCUUGUUACCCUCAUCAUCAUACUCGUGUUGGGACUAAUCAUGUGGGCAGUUACACGCUAGACAGCACACGAGUGAAAGGUGUGUAGUAUAGUUAAUGACAUCAUCCAUGGUGAACUUGGUUGGUACUGUUUUCUGUUGAAAGCAAGAACGGAAUGAUAAGAACUACACAAUGCAAUGGAAUAAUAAGAAUAAGAGCACUAGUGAGAAUGAGCAGUCACUGUAAGUAGCUGUGGUAGUGUUGUAGCAAGAAGUUGUGCUACUGGUAUUUUUUAUGUAUAGAAUUGUAUGUUAUGAUCAAGUGAGAUCUAUGAGUUAUAAUAUAAUUUCUGGAGAUACUAAUCAGCCCUAGAUGUUAAAAGUAACAUUGAACACUUUUCAGAUUGCUCUAGAUUCAAUGUAGUCCACCACAACGUAAUUACAGCUUUUAUACAGCUUUAAUCUUUAUUAUAGCAACUAUUCAAUCUGUUAUAAACCUGUGUAUUGAAUGUAUUACACACAAUGCACAAGGUUAUGCCAUACAUAGCUUCAUGUAUUACUGUACUGUGCAUUCUGUGCAAAGAGGUGAUAUUGCCAAUCAGGUUCGCUCUUCCUAUGGCUUUGUACUUCAAUUUGCUUAAAUAUGAAAAAUCACAAACUUAACUUAUAUGGUGCAAAAUAACCAGUGGGGUUCAGGUGAAAGAUGCACUUGCACAGUACACAUGGCGGAAACCUACAUGUAUUUACUAGAAGGUAUGAUGCGAUAAUUUAUGUAAUAAUUGUGUACAGCUAGCUUUUACAUUUCUGUAAGUAGGAUUUAAAAUGUAAUGAAUUUGCUUUCGAUUAAAUUCCACCACUGAGUAGUCACUGUGGGCAUUUUUGGUAAUGCUCAUGUACCAAGUAGACAUACGAUGUUAUCAAGCUACAUGCAUAUACAUUAUUUAUUAUAAGUAUAAAAUAGACACUUGUAAGAAUGAUCGAUAAUUUCUCUAUACAUUAGCGAGAGUAUUUUUUCACUUGCCAAAGAUGUGCUUGUUUGUUAAGUUUAUUUAUACAUAUGUAGUUUUUUCUUUCUGAAAUUCUAUGAACACAGUAUAUAUUAAAUGAAUAAGUUCAUGUUUUAAUGAGAGUGCAUGGCAGGACAUUCAUUAGUCACAAAAAUCGAUAUUUAAUUAAUUAUAUGCAGACGUGUACCAGUAUCAUUAUAUACAGAAAGCUUAAAAAGUUGUGGAAUCAAUGAAAUGUAUUAACAAUGAAUGCUUCAGAUUGACAAAAUAUUAAUUUUACGCAGUCUACUUGAGUGUCUGUUGCUAUUUGAUCAGUAGGGAUCUACAUAAUGUGUAUAACGGAAUUGCUCACAAGUUAAUAAUUGUAUAAAGAUUAUUACAAGUAACAAAUUAUCUACUAAGUAAUUUUAACCUUUUGUGUGGUAGAGAAAAUAUUUGCUGUAGGUUUUAUCAUGCUGCAUUAUUAAAUAAACGAAUUUUAUGUUGGAUGUUCAAGAAGCAUUGCAUUGUGCAUGACACUUUGGUAUCUAACCAAGAGCAUCUGUUAGUUAUUUUCCCCAGUAUGGAAUAACUAGUGUUACUUAUUCCUCAACCUUCAACCUUCAACCCUU